rnacentral:rRNA from 1 species
UACGAAGGGGGCUAGCGUUGCUCGGAAUCACUGGGCGUAAAGCGCACGUAGGCGGAUUGUUAAGUCAGGGGUGAAAUCCCGGAGCUCAACUCCGGAACUGCCUCUGAUACUGAUGGUCUUGAGUUCGGGAGAGGUGAGUGGAACUGCGAGUGUAGAGGUGAAAUUCGUAGAUAUUCGCAAGAACACCAGUGGCGAAGGCGGCUCACUGGCCCGAUACUGACGCUGAGGAGCGAAAGCGUGGGGAGCGAACAGG